rnacentral:rRNA from 1 species
CCUACGGAGGCAGCAGUGGGGAAUAUUGCACAAUGGGCGCAAGCCUGAUGCAGCCAUGCCGCGUGUAUGAAGAAGGCCUUCGGGUUGUAAACUCCUUUCGACAGGGACGAAGCGUAAGUGACGGUACCUGUAUAAGAAGCACCGGCUAACUACGUGCCAGCAGCCCGCGGUAAUAA